rnacentral:misc_RNA from 1 species
AAAGGUUUCUCUAAGGACGGGUCAAACCGUUCCCUGGAAAACUCCACCCUUGUGUAUUAUUUAUUUGUUGCUUUGGUGGGCCGCGAGAUUGCCUAGCGAUCAAGCACCGGCUCCGGCUGGAGAGCGCCUGCCAGAGGACCCCAAACUCUGUUAUUAUGUCGUCUGAGUACUAUUUUAAUAGUUA